AACGAACGCUGGCGGCAGGCCUAACACAUGCAAGUCGAGCGAGGACUUCGGCUCUAGCGGCGGACGGGUGAGUAACGCGUGGGAAUGUGCCCUUCUCUACGGAAUAGCCCUGGGAAACUGGGAGUAAUACCGUAUACGCCCUAUUGGGGAAAGAUUUAUCGGAGAAGGAUCAGCCCGCGUUGGAUUAGGUAGUUGGUGGGGUAAUGGCCUACCAAGCCGACGAUCCAUGGCUGGUUUGAGAGGAUGAUCAGCCACACUGGGACUGAGACACGGCCCAGACUCCUACGGGAGGCAGCAGUGGGGAAUCUUAGACAAUGGGGGCAACCCUGAUCUAGCCAUGCCGCGUGAGUGAUGAAGGCCUUAGGGUUGUAAAGCUCUUUCAGCUGGGAAGAUAAUGACGGUACCAGCAGAAGAAGCCCCGGCUAACUCCGUG
rnacentral:rRNA from 1 species